GAUGAACGCUGGCGGCGUGCCUAAUACAUGCAAGUCGAGCGAACAGACGAGGAGCUUGCUCCUCUGACGUUAGCGGCGGACGGGUGAGUAACACGUGGAUAACCUACCUAUAAGACUGGGAUAACUUCGGGAAACCGGAGCUAAUACCGGAUAAUAUAUUGAACCGCAUGGUUCAAUAGUGAAAGACGGUUUUGCUGUCACUUAUAGAUGGAUCCGCGCCGCAUUAGCUAGUUGGUAAGGUAACGGCUUACCAAGGCGACGAUGCGUAGCCGACCUGAGAGGGUGAUCGGCCACACUGGAACUGAGACACGGUCCAGACUCCUACGGGAGGCAGCAGUAGGGAAUCUUCCGCAAAGGGCGAAAGCUUGACGGAGCAACGCCGCGUGAGUGAUGAAGGUCUUCGGAUCGUAAAACUCUGUUAUUAGGGAAGAACAAAUGUGUAAGUAACUAUGCACGUCUUGACGGUACCUAAUCAGAAAGCCACGGCCAACUACGUG
rnacentral:rRNA from 1 species